rnacentral:rRNA from 1 species
GUGUCAGCAGCCGCGGUAAUACGGAGGAGGCUAGCGUUGUUCGGAAUUACUGGGCGUAAAGCGCACGUAGGCGGUGAUGUAAGUUGGAGGUGAAAGCCCGGGGCUUAACCCUGGAAUUGCCUUCGAGACUGCAUCGCUAGAGUAUGGAAGAGGAGAGCGGAAUUCCCAGUGUAGAGGUGAAAUUCGUAGAUAUUGGGAAGAACACCAGUGGCGAAGGCGGCUCUCUGGUCCAUUACUGACGCUGAGGUGCGAAAGCGUGGGGAGCAAACAGGAUUAGAUACCCGAGUAGUCC